rnacentral:rRNA from 1 species
AAGGUGUGUCGUGAGGCAUGCUGGAGGUAUCAGAAGUGCGAAUGCUGACAUAAGUAACGAUAAAGCGGGUGAAAAGCCCGCUCGCCGGAAGACCAAGGGUUCCUGUCCAACGUUAAUCGGGGCAGGGUGAGUCGACCCCUAAGGCGAGGCCGAAAGGCGUAGUCGAUGGGAAACGGGUUAAUAUUCCCGUACUUGGUGUUACUGCGAAGGGGGGACGGAGAAGGCUAUGUUGGCCGGGCGACGGUUGUCCCGGUUUAAGCGUGUAGGUGUGUGUUCCAGGUAAAUCCGGUUCACUUUAACACUGAGGCGUGAUGACGAGGCACUACGGUGCUGAAGUAACAAAUGCCCUGCUUCCAGGAAAAGCCUCUAAGCAUCAGGUAACAUCAAAUCGUACCCCAAACCGACACAGGUGGUCAGGUAGAGAAUACCAAGGCGCUUGAGAGAACUCGGGUGAAGGAACUAGGCAAAAUGGUGCCGUAACUUCGGGAGAAGGCACGCUGAUAUGUAGGUGAAGCGGUUUACCCGUGGAGCUGAAAUCAGUCGAAGAUACCAGCUGGCUGCAACUGUUUAUUAAAAACACAGCACUGUGCAAACACGAAAGUGGACGUAUACGGUGUGACGCCUGCCCGGUGCCGGAAGGUUAAUUGAUGGGGUCAGCGCAAGCGAAGCUCCUGAUCGAAGCCCCGGUAAACGGCGGCCGUAACUAUAACGGUCCUAAGGUAGCGAAAUUCCUUGUCGGGUAAGUUCCGACCUGCACGAAUGGCGUAAUGAUGGCCAGGCUGUCUCCACCCGAGACUCAGUGAAAUUGAACUCGCUGUGAAGAUGCAGUGUACCCGCGGCAAGACGGAAAGACCCCGUGAACCUUUACUAUAGCUUGACACUGAACAUUGAGCCUUGAUGUGUAGGAUAGGUGGGAGGCUUUGAAGUGUGGACGCCAGUCUGCAUGGAGCCGACCUUGAAAUACCACCCUUUAAUGUUUGAUGUUCUAACGUGGACCCGUAAUCCGGGUUGCGGACAGUGUCUGGUGGGUAGUUUGACUGGGGCGGUCUCCUCCUAAAGAGUAACGGAGGAGCACGAAGGUUGGCUAAUCCUGGUCGGACAUCAGGAGGUUAGUGCAAUGGCAUAAGCCAGCUUGACUGCGAGCGUGACGGCGCGAGCAGGUGCGAAAGCAGGUCAUAGUGAUCCGGUGGUUCUGAAUGGAAGGGCCAUCGCUCAACGGAUAAAAGGUACUCCGGGGAUAACAGGCUGAUACCGCCCAAGAGUUCAUAUCGACGGCGGUGUUUGGCACCUCGAUGUCGGCUCAUCACAUCCUGGGGCUGAAGUAGGUCCCAAGGGUAUGGCUGUUCGCCAUUUAAAGUGGUACGCGAGCUGGGUUUAGAACGUCGUGAGACAGUUCGGUCCCUAUCUGCCGUGGGCGCUGGAGAACUGAGGGGGGCUGCUCCUAGUACGAGAGGACCGGAGUGGACGCAUCACUGGUGUUCGGGUUGUCAUGCCAAUGGCACUGCCCGGUAGCUAAAUGCGGAAGAGAUAAGUGCUGAAAGCAUCUAAGCACGAAACUUGCCCCGAGAUGAGUUCU